UUGUAUUAACAGAAAGAGAAAAGGGGAGAUAAUAAAAGCUAAAAGCCCAUUUUUGAAGACUCAGGAUAUGUAGCCAUUGAAUCUGUUUUUAAAGAAGAUAUUCAGUAUUGUCUUUCCUAAUAUGAAUGAAAAUUUUGGAUGGUAUCUUCAUGGCACAUUACAGUUCCAGAAAAUAUAUAUCAUUCUGUGAAACCUGGGGUACAGGCAGUAAGUACAGCUUGGACAGGAGUCCUGAAAUAUCAGCUGCAGAAGAGGAGUGUUGUGCACAACAUUUAUUUUCCUGGAAAAUUACUGUCAGAGAAUUCCAUUCCUGAAGUCAAAAGUUCUACUGGAGAAAUUGUGCUUGGAGAAGGAAAUCAUAGUCACUGUCUGGUUACUUGGAAUAGAAGAGAUUUGGAAGAGAUUGGAAGAGAUCUGGAAGAAGGUCAUGCAGAUAUACUUUUAAUUACAAGCAUAUUUUUUGAUUAUCAAGCUUUUUUGCAGUCUAUGCACUUUAUCUGAAAUAUAUAGCAUGAUUUCCAACCCAUUUUACUUUACAUGUCAUUUAUGUUUUCAUUACAGUGGAUGUACGCGUACAUGCCAUACAGAGCAUAAACAUAGUCUGUUGUCCUUAUACAUUGUCUUUGCAAAUAAUCACAGCAAAAAAAAUCACUAAAUUAUUUCUCUUUGAAAUCCAGAAAUUCUUUCAAAAACACAUGAUCACAUUCACCUACCAACAAGAAAAUCUUUUACAGAAUCUACAUGGCAGCUGAUUUAAAGAAAAACAGAACAACUGAAAGUUUGUGUAUGCAUAUCAAGAGCCCAAAAGAUAUAUACUCUCCCAUACUUACACACCCACGUAUGCUGAUACAUCUAAAUAGCUUUGUUUUGAAGUUUGAAUCAGAUUUAAAUGGAAAGUUAUUGAAGAGAACUGUGUGGUCUGAAUUUUAAUCCCUGAACCCACUGGCUUCUUUUUUAUUGCAUGUGGUGUGGCCUUGAAUUGCAGAAUGUUUUAAACAUACAUAAUGAGCUCAAUGUCAAACUGUUGAGCCUUUUGUCUUUAACAAUAAGCACUUAGCUCAACUAAAUGAAUAGAAAUUGCUUUAGUGAAUUACAAAAGCCAAGGUUUUACACUGCACUAAUACUGACAUUAAUUAAUGUAGACAUUGUCAUAUUUUAAAAUAUAUGGGAUUAAAAUCAAUGGUUAAAAAGUGCAACAGACAUCAGUAAACAACACAAAUUUUAACAGUCAAAGAUGCUGCAUAAUAGUAUUUCUUCCACAAUGAGUAAUGCUUUUUUUCUGAUUCAUUUGCAUUUAUAUAGGCUACAUUUAGAACAUAUAUGGUACUGGUUGAAUGGCAAGAAUCUGAAAGAAAGAAUGUAAACAGUAUGUGUAAUUUCUCUAAUUUGGAAAGAGAUUAGAUCUCUAAUUCAUAGCAGACACUUUCUCCUUCCAUAUUUUGUGAAGGGCACUUGCAGCAGGAUAACUUUUUUAAUGUUGGAAAAGAAGAGAUCUUAUUUUCUUUCCCCAAAAUCAGGAGGAGUAUUCAGAAAUUUACAGUAAAUGGCAAUUCAUCCUUUAGAAAUUCCUUCAACCUACUAUUAGAGUUGCUGCCAGAGAUCUGAAUGCUUUUGCCUAAAUCUCUGUAAUCCAAUAAGCUUUUGUGUUUAGCAGCUUGUUUUGAAACUUGUAUAGCACCCCAGCCUGUGUCUCUGUAUGUUCCUUUGCAGGCAGGUGAGUGCCCCAGGGCCUGAUUAUUAUUCAAGCCAGGAGGCCUUCACAGCCCCAACCAGAAUGUAAUUUGUAAUUAACUGUCAUUUACUUCUGUCUGCACUGACUUGUUGUUCAAAAGACAGUGUAUUUGAGCUGGUCACUAGCUUCUCUUUGUUGUGGAUAUGAUGUCUUUCAGAUCUAGUUUUAUUCAUAAUGUUUAGAAAACCAAGUACUUGCACUCUUGAAACCAAAGCAGGAAGGGGAUUUUACUGACUUUUCCUAAAUAAAUUAGGUAUAUGCAAUUAUGAAUACUUAGAUAUGUAAAAAGGAGUAUUUGAUGCUCUGGGAUGAGUUUCUGAGCAGAAUAGUUAAAUUCAUGUGAAAUAUAUUUAAUUGAAGUCUGUUAGAGAUGGAGCAUUCCUGAUUUGAACUUAUUGUAGUUGAGAUCUGUAAAAUGAAAGUGCACAUUUAAGUUGUGGGAAUUCUUCUUAACACAUUUUAAACAUCACAACUGUAUUUUCUCACUGAAGCGGGACCAUUAAUGUAUUCUGUGAAUGUACCCAUAUCAUGAAUUUGUAAUUGUCCCCAUGGUAGUCUUUUGU